rnacentral:rRNA from 1 species
GACGAACGCUGGCGGCGUGCUUAACACAUGCAAGUCGAACGCUGAAGCUCAGCUUUUGUUGGGUGGAUGAGUGGCGAACGGGUGAGUAACACGUGAGUAACCUGCCCCCUUCUUUGGGAUAACGCCCGGAAACGGGUGCUAAUACUGGAUAUUCACUGGUCUUCGCAUGGGGGUUGGUGGAAAGGGUUUUUCUGGUGGGGGAUGGGCUCGCGGCCUAUCAGCUUGUUGGUGGGGUGAUGGCCUACCAAGGCUUUGACGGGUAGCCGGCCUGAGAGGGUGACCGGUCACAUUGGGACGGAGAUACGGCCCAGACUCCGACGGGGGGCAGCAGUGGGGAAUAUUGCAGAAUGGGCGCAAGCCUGAUGCAGCGACGCCGCGUGAGGGAUGGAGGCCUUCGGGUUGUGAACCUCUUUCGCUAAUGGUCAAGCCGCAACAAUGGUUGUGGUGAGGGUAGUGGGUAAAGAAGCGCCGGCUAACUACGUG